rnacentral:rRNA from 1 species
AGAGCGAACGCUGGCGGCAGGCUUAACACAUGCAAGUCGGGCGGGCGUAGCAAUACGUCAGCGGCAGACGGGUGAGUAACGCGUGGGAACGUACCUUUUGGUUCGGAACAACACAGGGGAAACUUGUGCUAAAUACCGGAUAAGCCCUUACGGGGAAAGAUUUAUCGCCGAAAGAUCGGCCCGCGUCUGAUUAGCUAGUUGGUGAGGUAACGGCUCACCAAGGCGACGAUCAGUAGCUGGUCUGAGAGGAUGAUCAGCCACAUUGGGACUGAGACACGGCCCAAACUCCUACGGGAGGCAGCAGUGGGGAAUAUUGGACAAUGGGCGCAAGCCUGAUCCAGCCAUGCCGCGUGAGUGAUGAAGGCCCUAGGGUUGUAAAGCUCUUUGUGCGGGAAGAUAAUGACGGUACCGCAAGAAUAACGCCCGGCUAACUUCGUGCCAGCAGCCGC